GACGAACGCUGGCGGCGUGCCUAAUACAUGCAAGUCGAACGCACAGUUUAUACCUUAGCUUGCUCCACCAUAGACUGUGAGUUGCGAACGGGUGAGUAACGCGUAGGUAACCUGCCUGGUAGCGGGGGAUAACUAUUGGAAACGAUAGCUAAUACCGCAUAAUAUUAAUUAUUGCAUGAUAAUUAAUUGAAAGGUGCAAUUGCACCACUACCAGAUGGACCUGCGUUGUAUUAGCUAGUAGGUGAGGUAACGGCUCACCUAGGCGACGAUACAUAGCCGACCUGAGAGGGGGAGCGGCCACACUGGGACGGGGACACGGCCCAGACUCCUACGGGAGGCAGCAGGAGGGAAUCUUCGGCAAUGGACGAAAGUCGGACCGAGCAACGCCGCGUGAGUGAAGAAGGUUGUCGGAUCGUAAAGCUCUGUUGUAAGAGAAGAACGGGUGUGAGAGUGGAAAGUUCACACUGUGACGGUAGCUGACCAGAAAGGGACGGCUAACUACGUG
rnacentral:rRNA from 1 species